ensembl:lncRNA
GGCCAGAGUCUAUGUUAACCACUCGAAUCCUAACCUUAACACGUUCCCUAAACCUCAACUCUAAACCCAACCUCUGCAGAUCAAAAUGUAAAUGGAACUUUGAGGUUGACUGAAAAGGAUGCUUCCUCUCACUAGUAAUUUCCCCACUCUAUCACCAACUGUCACGCCUCUGGCGAAGACGUUACUUUCAGAAGGAGUGGUUGUUUUGAAUGAAUGUUGACCACCAGUGUUCCAGUAUUCUCAUUGCAGUACUUAGAAUUUACCACUGGGUGGCGCAGCCAGAACAUUUGACUUCCAUACAACUACAGGAUCCUUUUCACCACAAGAGGGAAGUGUCUCACUAUCACAGAAAAUCUAAUACCACAGACAGAACGAUGAGCCAUAUAUUAAACUGGAUGCAUAGACGCGAAGCAUCCGGUUGGCAUUUCCACUCACUAGUAUGGAAGCCCAGUGGCCGGCAAUGGGAGAACAUUAAGCGAGAUGGAUUUUGUCCGGUAUUCUGUUGAUUUUCUCAUCGAUGACACAUGUUGAUCUCCAUACAGGUUUCUGCUUCCAAACUAAAAGCUGUAACAAACAGAGUGGACUGCGUUUUGCCAAAGUUUCAAAAAAAAGUGCGUUGCUUAGAGUGCACACGCGCACCUCCCAGAGUAGGCGUUCCCUAACUGAAAUAUGCAAAUAACGCCAAAAAGAUCUCAGUAGCUGGUGUUUGACUCUGCCCACCUUCUUGUUCUGCACGCUGUGAUUCAUUUGCUCCCGUUGGAAACGACAGGCUCUUGUCCAUCUUGGGUUAGUUAUAAAAACUCCCUGCUAAUACUGUAGUGGAGGUGGUCCAAUGGAAUGACUCAAAGGCAAAGUCAAAUUAGAUUUAUUUGUAUGAAUGGACUUACUUUCAAGAGCUUAUCCAGGAGAGUGCAAGUCUUUUAGCACUGAUUGGUGCUAACCAUGAAAUAAAAUAACAAAUUCCCCUAGUUUAUAAGAAUGUCUUGUGAUUAAACACGACAGCUUUUAGUCCAUUGUUCAAUCUUAUGAAAACAAACGUUAAUCACUCUUAAAUCCUAGGAUUAAGAGGCUUUAACAAUAACACUUGGAACAAUUAACUGUAUUUGCCCUGUCUGUGUGAAAUGAUGCCAUUCUUAUUUCCUCAUCUCAUGGCGAACGAGCACAAAGAGAGAAAGCCCUAUGAUAUGUUAUGGUGGAUGAAUAGGCAUCAUUCAUCCGCCUUCCCAACGUGAUAAUGAGGCUCACUGUUCCUAAGUUUGAGCAGAGGCUUGAACCAUUUGUUCGAUUUGAGAAAGAAAAAUGCAUUGUGUGACGAGUAGGCGAGUCAUUUCUAGGUGAGAAAAUUGCUUUUCCUUUCCGGUCACUUUUCAAUUAGUCACACUCAUGCUGCAAAUGCAGCUCUGAAAUAAAAUGGGGUUUAAUUGAGUUGAAAUGUGGGAUCUGACACAAAGGAGAACUAGAGCCAAUGAAUUGUUAUGUUUUGGGGCCUCCGGUGGACCUGCAGGUGGACCUGCAUACCAAACAAGGCUAUUGGUCCAGUUAGAGGGAACAACUCUAUUUCUCCACAGGAAAACUUUGUUCAUAAAAAGGCAGAUCACACAUCAAGGUGCUGUGUUUACCAUUAAGCACUGGGGGUGUACUCGAUAUUAGGAAUAGUUACUUUAGCACAAUCUUUAUUCAUUUGUAAUUGUUGCUGUUGUACAGACUGUAUAUUGUAUCUGGAUAUUUCCCUGAAGAGUUGUAGCUAUCUGUCCUAAAGAAUUCAAUUUGAUUUCGACAAUCCGGUAACACUGAGUCAGUCCACAUCAGAAAUGACAGUGGAAAUGUAUCUGGCCUAUUCAGAGAGUGUCGAAAAGAUGCUGAAGAUGCCUCUGCCUUUCAAGCAAAACCUGGCAGAGGCCAUGCAAGGUGAGCAAGAUGUUUUGUGAGAUCUAUUUUCUCCUGUUUCAUCUAAUUAGAGACCAAGCUUUUUAAAGCAGAUUUUUCAAAUCAAUCACCCCACACAAUGUGUGUGUGAUGUAGUUAGUCUGUUUAGUCAAUUUCCGGAGUGAUAAUUGGCAGUGCAAAGACACAGCCACGCUCCUACCGUGUUAUGACUGUGGGGAACCUGGAAGGCCUCUGCCAACACGCACAAACACACACACACACACACCUCCGUUUUGUUACUUUCAUGCCUAAGGAUGUACACUAUAUUCUGCUAGAAUUAUGCUGUAAAUAAGAUACAACUUUAGGCAAUUCCAAAGGAGAUGUGACAAAAUGACUGCCUGCUCUAAUGAAUGCAAAGCUGCAAAGUUAACGUCAGGGUGUCAGGUGCAAUGACAAGUGAUAUUGGGCUCUCACUUUUAAUUAAAUCUAAAUGUGCCUGCAGUCAACUGAAUAAUUACACCCAGGGAACUGAAUUAUCUGGUCAAAAGUUUGUCACAACAACUAAGUCUGGAAAGACAACUGGAACUUGGAACUGGCUUCUCACACUGAGAGAGAGAAAACAAAGUACAGAGACCUUUCAAUGCUCUGCCUGUAUUCAAAAAACAGUCAUUAUUAUUAUUAUAAAAAAAAUAAAACAAGAUGGAACUACAGUACGUGAAAAAAGUGAACAUACUCUAGGACCCAAAAUAACCCAUCCAUAUACACACACAAACACAAUUCCAGUAGUUUGUUAAUGACAAUACAGCCUAGCAGACUCCCUGCAGAUGAUUCAGUGCUGGCUUCUGCAGGUGCAAUGCGGUUACACAUGAAAUAACAAAAGCCAAUUUCCCCUAGUGACCGUUCAUAUGAGGAUUAUUUAUCAGUUAUCAUAGAGUAAUAAUGAUUAGGCCUAUAUCACCUCUUACUGCUGAGCGCACCAGCCAGGCAGGCAGGCAGGCAGAGAGGCAGGUAGGCAGACAGGCAGGCAGGCAGGCAGAGAUGCAGGCAGGCAGAGAGGCAGGCAGAGAGGAAGGCAGACAGGCAGAGAGGCAGGCAGGUAGAGAUGCAGGCAGAGAGGCAGAGAGGCAGGCAGGCAGACAGGCAGGCAGGCAGAGAGGAAGGCAGACAGGCAGAGAGACAGGCAGGUAGAGAGGCAGACAGGCAGGCAGAUAGGAAGGCAGAGAGGCAGGCAGGCAGGCAGGCAGGCAGAGAGCCAGCCAGGUAGAGGCAGGCUCCCUGCUAGACUAUCUGUACAGGAAGCCAGCCACACAGGCAGAUAGGCAAGAAGGAGGGUAUAUAGGCAGGCAAACAGGCAGCCUCCUUGGGGACAGUAAAUGCAUGUUGGAAUGUUGGGAGUGAGACACCAGGUUAUUAUGAUCUCUGGGAUCAGAGGGCAGUGUACUGUUCUUGUGUUGUAUGAAUCUUUCAAAACCAAACCAUAGGUAUUUAAAUUAGUAACAGUUGUUAAUGGGGAUGAUGUUCCCUUUAGUUUUAUGGAGAUGCAGCUCUCUCUGGUACAGUGAGCCUAAUAAGGAAACAAUGUUUCAUCAAAGUAAACAGAAAGGAACAGACUUAAUUAAAAGCAGUUCAAAGCAUAACACCGUUUGUUCCCUCUUUUCUGAAUCACGUUUCUUCAGCAUUUCUGCCUAGUUUUGCAGUUACAAGCUUGUGAAUUCUUCUAAAAACUGUUUUAACACUGCAUUGGUUGAACACUGUUUUAACACUGCAUUGGUUGAACAC